AGAGUUUGAUCAUGGCUCAGAUUGAACGCUGGCGGCAGGCCUAACACAUGCAAGUCGAGCGGUAACAGAUUGAUAGCUUGCUAUCAAUGCUGACGAGCGGCGGACGGGUGAGUAAUGCCUGGGAAUAUACCCUGAUGUGGGGGAUAACUAUUGGAAACGAUAGCUAAUACCGCAUAAUCUCUUGUCUUUUACGAGAUGGGAGCAAAGAGGGGGACCUUCGGGCCUCUCGCGUCAGGAUUAGCCCAGGUGGGAUUAGCUAGUUGGUGAGGUAAUGGCUCACCAAGGCGACGAUCCCUAGCUGGUCUGAGAGGAUGAUCAGCCACACUGGAACUGAGACACGGUCCAGACUCCUACGGGAGGCAGCAGUGGGGAAUAUUGCACAAUGGGGGAAACCCUGAUGCAGCCAUGCCGCGUGUAUGAAGAAGGCCUUCGGGUUUAAAGUACUUUCAGUUGUGAGGAAGGCGUUGAAGUUAAUAGCUUCAGCGCUUGACGUUAGCAACAGAAGAAGCACCGGCUAACUCCGUGCCAGCAGCCGCGGUAAUACGGAGGGUGCGAGCGUUAAUCGGAAUUACUGGGCGUAAAGCGCAUGCAGGCGGUCUGUUAAGCAAGAUGUGAAAGCCCGGGGCUCAACCUCGGAACAGCAUUUUGAACUGGCAGACUGAGGGGGGUAGAAUUUCA
rnacentral:rRNA from 1 species